AAAAGAUAGGAAACCAAAGGUAGGAAUAAAUGGUCAGUUUUCAGAAUGGAGAGAGGUAAAUAUUGGUGCCUCCCAGGAGUCUGUACUCGGCUCAGUCCUAUAAAAUAUUC